rnacentral:rRNA from 1 species
GUAGGGAAUCUUCCACAAUGGACGAAAGUCUGAUGGAGCAACGCCGCGUGAGUGAAGAAGGUCUUCGGAUCGUAAAACUCUGUUGUUAGAGAAGAACGUGCAUGAUAGUAACUGAUCAUGUAAUGACGGUAUCUAACCAGAAAGCCACGGCUAACUACGUGCCAGCAGCCGCGGUAAUACGUAGGUGGCAAGCGUUGUCCGGACUUAUUGGGCGUAAAGGGAACGCAGGCGGUUUUUUAAGUCUGAUGUGAAAGCCUUCGGCUUAACCGAAGAAUAGCAUUGGAAACUGGAAGACUUGAGUGCAGAAGAGGAGAGUGGAAUUCCAUGUGUAGCGGUGAAAUGCGUAGAUAUAUGGAGGAACACCAGUGGCGAAAGCGGCUCUCUGGUCUGUAACUGACGCUGAGGCUCGAAAGCCAGGGGAGCGAACGGGAUUAGAAACCCUGGUAGUCC